GCGCACGUGGUGGAAUUGGUAGACACGCCAUCUUGAGGGGGUGGUGGGCGCAAGCCCGUGGAAGUUCGAAUCUUCUCGCGCGCA
rnacentral:tRNA from 1 species